UACAGAGGUCUCAAGCGUUGUUCGGAUUCAUUGGGCGUAAAGGGUGCGUAGGCGGUGAGGUAAGUCGGAUGUGAAAUCCCGGGGCUUAACCCCGGAACUGCAUUCGAUACUGCCUUGCUUGAGCACUGGAGAGGAGACUGGAAUUUACGGUGUAGCAGUGAAAUGCGUAGAUACCGUAAGGAAGACCAGUGGCGAAGGCGAGUCUCUGGACAGUUGCUGACGCUGAGGCACGAAGGCCAGGGGAGCAAACGGG
rnacentral:rRNA from 1 species